UACCAAAGCGACUAUAAGUCGCUCUGGAUAAGAGCGUCUGCUAAAUGACUAAAA
rfam:Salmo salar isolate Sally breed double haploid chromosome ssa18, whole genome shotgun sequence.